CAUCCUGGGCUUUGGCACAUGCAGUCCCUGCAAAUGUUGCAGAGGCAGGUCACAUGACUGCUCUCUAUAAAAACUACAUGUGUCAGAGGCCCAGCACACACCAUGUCAGGCAGCAACUUAACAUGUUGUUGUGACCCACAGGUUUCGUGCCUACAAUAAAUAUCAUCAGCCAGAA